UUUCUCUCAUCAUAGUUGAUCAAACGGUCGCAACUUUUUCAUAGUCUCUAAUGUUUAUCGCCUGGUUUUCACCGGAAAAGUCGGUUCCCACAAGUUCUCUCCUCGUGUUGAAGACCUACUCCUGCUAGUUUUUCGGUUUCUAGUGUACUAACUAUAACCUUAGUGUUUAGUGCCGCUGUCGUCCCGUGAAGUUAGCGAGCAAAGUGUCGGCUAGGCAGACCGAGUAGGUCUCUGGAUGUGAAGCAGCAACAGCAGGGUAAAAAGGUUCGCGAACAACCGUGAAAAAUCCUCCCUUUCUGCGAGUUGUGAAUCGAAACUGAUAAGGCUGAAUGAAGUUUUGCCUGUCGUUCGGUCGAAGUAGGCAGUCCUGAUCGUAGGAAAAAGUGAGAUUUUCAGGGAGAGUUGUGUAACUAAAUUUUUGCUUCGAUGCGAGCUUGGACCACAGAUUUAAUCAGAUUUUAGUGUGUUUCUUGCCACGGUUUGGUUGAAAAAUACUGUGCUAGCAACAGUGGAGGAAAAAUUUUCGGAUGAGUGCAAAUUUGUAGCAGAAGCAGUAUCCUCAGGCAUCAUGAUAAGAAGCUGGAGCGGUGGCACCCCUCCGUGGGGCAGUGUGCAGCAAACCUGAAAACGGAAGGGAGACCCGCUUCGUCCCAUUUUGUGAGGACGGAAAGUGCAGUUUGACUUGUGACGGAUAGAUUGAGCAGUUUUCAAAAUGUAAUAAAAACCAAUCCGGUGGAAUCGUGGAAGUGAAGCAAUAUUAAGGUAAAGGUUUGUGAAAAAUAGAGAAAACGGUCGUGUGAAUUGAAUGAAACAGAAAAGUGUAAAAAAUAGUCAAACAGUGGAGAAAAAAGGACCGUUCUAGAAGAGAGUGAAGUGACGUGCCAUUUUUUCGGUCUGCUUUGUGAGAUAUAAGUCGAAGAGGACGUGAAGUGUGAAGCGAUAGUGAGGGAUUUUGGACUCCGAAUCGGAUAACUGCUCAGCUCGUUUGAUGGCCAAGGAAAUCGAAAACGAUUAAGUGACAGGUGUGCGUUGCAGUUUGCGUAGAAGUUUCACUGAAGGGCAGUUUAUGUAAUAUAUGCUAGUGUAAAUGAAAAGUGCAUCAACUUCUCAACAACCAAAACCAUCGAAGUGUGCGAGUUCUGAAAACGAAGAAAGGUUCGAUAGGCGUGAAGCAUUAUUUUUUCUCUACAGACUUCCUACCACCAUGGCAGGCGAUAAUGGAUAACUCAAUGGAUUCAAGAUUCCAAAAGGUAAAACAAACCACAAUGCAAAUUAUUCGCUUGAAAGUAACUGAUUUUAAUAGUGAUGACAUCAACGGUGAGUUCAGGUAUGGAAAUGUAAGAACAUAGAC